rnacentral:rRNA from 1 species
GCUAGCUACAGGCUUAACACAUGCAAGUCGAGGGGCAGCAUGGUCUUAGCUUGCUAAGGCCGAUGGCGACCGGCGCACGGGUGAGUAACACGUAUCCAACCUGCCGUCUAUUCUUGGACAGCCUUCUGAAAGGAAGAUUAAUACAAGAUGGCAUCAUGAGUCCACAUGUUCACAUGAUUAAAGGUAUUCCGGUAGACGAUGGGGAUGCGUUCCAUUAGAUAGUAUGCGGGGUAACGGCCCACCUAGUCUUCGAUGGAUAGGGGUUCUGAGAGGAAGGUCCCCCACUUUGGAACUGAGACACGGUCCAAACUCCUACGGGAGGCAGCAGUGAGGAAUAUUGGUCAAUGGGCGAGAGCCUGAACCAGCCAAGUAGCGUGAAGGAUGACUGCCCUAUGGGUUGUAAACUUCUUUUAUAAAGGAAUAAAGUCGGGUAUGCAUACCCGUUUGCAUGUACUUUAUGAAUAAGGAUCGGCUAACUCCGCGCCAGCAUCCGCGGUAAUACGGAGGAUCCGAGCGUUAUCCUGAUUUAUUGGGUUUAAAGGGAGCGUAGAUGGAUGUUUAAGUCAGUUGUGAAAGUUUGCGGCUCAACCGUAAAAUUGCAGUUGAUACUGGAUAUCUUGAGUGCAGUGAGGGCAGGCGGAAUUCGUGGUGUAGCGGUGAAAUGCUUAGAUAUCACGAAGAACUCCGAUUGCGAAGGCAGCCUGCUAAGCUGCAACUGACAUUGAGGCUCGAAAGUGUGGGUAUCAAACAGGAUUAGAUACCCUGGUAGUCCACACGGUAAACGAUGAAUACUCGCUGUUUGCGAUAUACAGCAAGCGGCCAAGCGAAAGCGUUAAGUAUUCCACCUGGGGAGUACGCCGGCAACGGUGAAACUCAAAGGAAUUGACGGGGGCCCGCACAAGCGGAGGAACAUGUGGUUUAAUUCGAUGAUACGCGAGGAACCUUACCCGGGCUUAAAUUGCAGAUGAAUUACGGUGAAAGCCGUAAGCCGCAAGGCAUCUGUGAAGGUGCUGCAUGGUUGUCGUCAGCUCGUGCCGUGAGGUGUCGGCUUAAGUGCCAUAACGAGCGCAACCCUUGUUGUCAGUUACUAACAGGUUCUGCUGAGGACUCUGACAAGACUGCCAUCGUAAGAUGUGAGGAAGGUGGGGAUGACGUCAAAUCAGCACGGCCCUUACGUCCGGGGCUACACACGUGUUACAAUGGGGGGUACAGAGGGCCGCUAUCACGCGAGUGGAUGCCAAUCCCAAAAACCUCUCUCAGUUCGGACUGGAGUCUGCAACCCGACUCCACGAAGCUGGAUUCGCUAGUAAUCGCGCAUCAGCCACGGCGCGGUGAAUACGUUCCCGGGCCUUGUACACACCGCCCGUCACACCAUGGGAGUUGGGAAUGCCCGAAGCCAGUGGCCUAACCGAAAGGAAGGAGCUGUCGAAGGCAGGCUCGAUAACUGGGGUGA